rnacentral:misc_RNA from 1 species
UCGAACCCUGCAAAGCAGAACGACCCGUGAACACGUAAAAACUAUCGGGUGUCGAUUGGAUCAAGCGCUUGUUUGAUCCUCUUGACGCUCUGCCGACGUGCAUUCACUUGAGUUCAUAUGGACCUUGUGAAUGUGUUGUCGGCGCAAUAACAACCCCCGGCACAAUGUGUGCCAAGGAAAACUAAACUUGAGAAGGCUUGUUUCAUGUUGCCCCGUUCGCGGUGUGCUCAUGGGAUGCGGCUUCUU